rnacentral:rRNA from 2 species
CUGCGGAGGAUCAUUAAUGA